GGUCCCACCUGACCCCAUGCCGAACUCAGAAGUGAAACGCCGUAGCGCCGAUGGUAGUGUGGGGUCUCCCCAUGUGAGACUCGGGAACUGCCAGGC
rnacentral:rRNA from 1 species